rnacentral:lncRNA from 1 species
UAUUUAUUGAAUGUGUGCUUGAGCCAAGCUUUCUUCUAGGUGCUGGGAAUGCACCAACAAAGGACAUGAUUGCAUUCAAGCAGGAGAGAUGGGCAACAUGCAGGUUGAUAUCUAAUAUUUUGUUGAAGAGAAACAGCCCAGUAGGGAGACUGGACACAGACGGGCAGGUGGCAAGGGGUCCAUUGGUGUAAGAUGCACAGAAGCUACAGUUACAGUGGCAUUUGCAAGAAGGAAGAAGCAACAUUUUACAGCUUUUGUCAACACUAUUGUCCCUCAUCCACUACUGAUUCCAUCCAAUGGAGAGAAGAGAGACCCUAUCCUGCUAGCCAGAGACCCCUAAGCAACAAUCAGGAGGUGAUACCUUCCUCCCUGAAGAAGUUACUUGGGGAUCUAUGUUUAGUAAACAGAGACAAGUAGCUAAUCAUAAAAGGCUCUGCCUCUCCCCAAUGUAUCCUCUAAAGCCAAGAAUGGUGGCAGCAAGAACCCCAUGUCCUCUAAGAGCCAAGUCAGACUUCCAUUCAGAGAGCUCAGUCCUAAAGCAAAUUGAAAGCCCUCAGCAAGAAAUUGUUCCUGAGCUGGAAGCUAGAGAGGCACACUGUGUUCUCUUACCCCCUCAGAAGUGACAUGCCCCUUCCUUUUCCAAUGUCCCCUUUCUGCCUGGAACAUGAGGAGGACCACAGUUGGCCCUCCCCCCAGCUAGAGCUGGUGACUCAGAGGCCACCUGCAUCCAUUUUCCAGCUCUGCCUGUGGCACAUCCUCUGCCCUUGCCUCCAAGCCACCAGCGAGCGGUGCCCUCUGCCUGGGCUACAUCUGAACACUGAAGCAUUCUUCUGGGAUUCGUCACUUUCUGAGAGGGAUUACAUAAAGAGGAGCUGUUUCCAGGACAGAGCAAGGACUAGCCAGUGGAAUUUAGAACAAUCCUCGGAAAAGCCAGUCCCCUAGAGAAGGGAAAAUUCCCCUGCUCUAGCAGACUCAUCGUUUGCGAGCAACCCUGAGGUUGGAGGGACCCUCAGAUGAGAAGGGUAGCAGAGAAUCCCAACCCCUGAGCCAUGUGCUCUGAAGUUUGCAGGGCCUGGACACUAGAGCCAGCUUGUGGGAAUGGGAUGAGAAGGCUCUCACUGUCCUGCCUCUUCUCAGUGAGCAUACCUUCCAGCCUGCAGCUCUUUGGUACCAACCUCAUGUUCCCCCAUUGUCCCAUCUGCAGAGAUGCUCAGAUGCUUCCUGAGUAUCUACAAGAGCAGCCAAAGCUGAGCUCUGAACGCUUGGUCCCACCCUUCAAAGCUUCCCUGCUUGCUACCUCCAUCAAAUGGCUCCUGGUUAGAGCAGUCUGGGAGUCAGGCAUGAAGUCCCCUGACCAUUAAACUGGACUUCCUGCACUUCACUCAGCAGCAUCUCCAGUGACAUGAGCCCAAGCCAUCAUCCACUUCCCCUUAAGCCCCUUUUGUUGAAACUUCCUGACCCUGUUCACCUUCACCUCACUUCAUCUUACUCUUCCACCAGCUGUUCUUCAGCUGGUCUUUCUGUAACAUAUUUUCUUUGCUCCCCUGGGAGAUUUUUCUUUUUUAAAGAUGGUGUUUCACUAUGUAGCUCAGGUUAACCACAAAUUCAAUGUAGCCAAGGAUGACUUUGAACUCCUGAUUCUCUUGCCUCCACCACCUAAGCCCUGGGAUUUUCGGUGUGUAUCACCUGGCCUUAACAUUUCCUUUUUUUCCCCUGUGUGUCUGUGUGUAUGUUGUUGCUCCUCUAGCUCAUCCCUCAGAUCUCAACCUCAGAAAGCUGGUGCUGACACCCUCCCUAACUUCUUGCUCUCUUUUGCUAUCCUGUUUAUUUACUAUAUAGCAUUUGGCCAGCUUGUGUUGAGCACACUUUAAUAAUAAUUAUAAGCUUGUGUGUUUCUUGUCAAUCUCCCUACUAUUGCUUCUUAUGGGUAUAGAUUGGAGGUAGGCACAUCAGAGAGCUCUGGGAGACAGAAAUGGAGCUCAGUGGAGACAAGACUCAAUGAGAGAAGAAACCAUUUCUCACACCAUGUUUCUAUGGUCCAUCUCAAAUCAUGACCUAGGACCUCCUAGAUGGAUGGAGGAUGGAUGAAUGGGUGAUAUAUAUGUAAUACAUGAAUGGUCGGUGGAUAGAGGGAUGAUGGCCUGAUAGGAGAAUUCUAGAUUUUAGCAUAAAGUAACAGAAAUCCUGUUUAAGACAUUGGGAGUAGUUAAGAAAGACUCUGUAGCUACAGAAAGACCCAUUCCUGGGUUGGAGACCCAUUUCAUAAAUUCGGACAAUGUCAUUCCAAAUCCUGGACGAGAAAACUCAUCCAUGAGUACACUCAGGAAAUACCUUCCUGAAGAAUGAGAUGGAAAAUGAAAACCAAAUGGCUGAGGAAUGCUGCCUGCUUUUCUCAUUCUUCGCUGGGGGCAGAGCUGCUUGGACUCAACUGAAUCACGGGUUGAUGAGCUGAAGCAGGAUGACCGACAAUACUCUGGGACAUGUUUACAUGACAGAACUUGGUUUUGCAAUAUCAGCAUCAUUCCUUGGAACAUCAGGGACAAAUUCCAGAGGAGAAGGCUUUCUAUCUAUGGACUCCCAGUGACUCAUGCAACCAACACAAGGGACACAAAUGGCUAUUGGUCACAGCUCAAUGGAUCAGGCAACUCAGACUAUGCCAAAUGUUAUCAGAAUGAGCUCACAUAGAAACUUCAAGAAUACUCAGUGAGAGGCAGAAGAUAGUGGCUGCCUCAUCUGCACACUACCACAUUCCUUUAUCCUGCCUAACCUAUGUGGUGAGAGAAAUGACUUACUAUGAUGUUUGGGAAAUCAAACCCAACCCCAACACUACCAAAGAAGAACUAAAAAAGACUACAAGCCAAAUGUUGUCUCUGAUACCAAGAGAAUUGUGUAACAAAGGAGGCAAACAGGUAAUUUAGGAGGAGAGAAGGUGAUACUGGGGUUCUCUUGUAGACAUCUUUGAUGUUUUCUGGAGGAGACAGAGGGAGGAUGCAGAGACAAAAGAGAAGUAAACAUGUUGCGUGUGAACUACAAUAACCUUGGACUUACACAAGGAUGCAACAAGACUGGCUUUGCAAAAGAAUGUGCUUUGUGACAAAUGUGAAAACCGUCAUGGUAAAAAAGGAGCUAUGGCAUACUGGCCCAACUGCAGAGAUAGUGGGAUCCAAAUUUGGAUUCUCAGAAAGGAUGGGGAAUGGUUCCAGAAAUUCAGUCUGUGUGCAUGGAGUACCAGAGCUAUGGAGACUUUCCACCCCACUUAAAGACAGAUGUAAAGGCUGCAAUAGAAAGGAGACUGGGAGAAGAUUCUAGAAGACUGUGUUGACUGGGAAUUUUUGUCAACUUAAUACAAGCUAGACUCAUCUGAGAAGAGAUAAUCUCAAUUGAGAAAAUGCCACCAUCAGACUGGCCUGCAUAUAGGCCUGAAGGGAAUUUUCUUGGUUGAUGACUGAUAUGGAAGGGCCCAGCACACUAUGAGCAGUGCCAUCCCUGGGCACUGGGGUGUAUAAGAAACCAACUAAGCAAGCCUGAAGGAGCAAGCCAGCUUGAUAUCCCAUAAGCAAGGCAAGAAAUGCUAAGGACUCAGAGCCCUGCCUUCCUGUCCUCAGCCUUCUUUCCUUAUCCCCUCAGCGCCAUGCCUCCCCUCAGACCUAUACCUCCCAUCAGGCCAGCAACAGCCUGUAACUCAGGGUCUCCAGCACCGAGGACUCCAUGUGUGAAUGCUGCAAUGGAGACUAGGGAUGGAACCACUGUAAGAACUGAGGCAUUGAAUGAACCUCAAGACCUUGGCUAUGAGAAACUUGGGAUGUGCAAAAGUAACAAAAGCAGAUAGACCACAAAUGUUGUGGGAAAUUCAAGAGCAUUGAUUUCCCCUCUCUUUAUGAUUUUUUUAUUUUUAUAAAAGCAUUAUAGAGCUAUUAUAAGUAUUUGAACAAUAUUAAAGCACAUAAAGAGAAAAAAUCUUGUAUCUUCAAUAUAACAACACCCCCAAAUAACCAUAGCAACAACCAUAACGUUGUUGCAGGUGACUUCCUUUAUGCGCACAGACAAGCAGGUAGGUGACCAAGAAAGCAAAAGCAGAUAGUGCGUCAUGGACAGAUGGAUGGGUAGAUACAUUGAUGAAUAGAUGAAUGAAUUGGUGGGUGAGUGGAAGAGAUCAUAAAGAGGUCAUACUUCAAUGUUUUUUUAUUCUUAUUUGAUAUACAUUGGUGUUGCCAUGAUUGCUGGGUCCCCUGUAACUGGAGCUACAGACAGUUGUGAGCUGCUAUGCUGUUGCUGAGAAUUGAACCCAGGUCCUCUGAAAGAGCACUUACUGUUUUUUUAUAUGAGGUAAAAUCAAUCAAUCUUCGAUUUAACAGAUUAAAAACACUAAGGGCCUUUCCAUGAACAUGAAAUCCACAGAUUCUGCUAACCUGACUUAAGGAUUCACCUCUCUCCACCUCCCCUAUGCUGGGAUCACAAGACAUAAGCCACUGCCCCCAGCUGUAAAAAAAUGGGUGCCGGGGAGCUGAACUCAGGACUUCGUGCUUGUGGGACAAGCAUUUACCCAGUCUCCAGCCUCAAGAGCUGGAAUUUCCACAUUACUUUCCUUGGCUGCAAUAACUUGCUGGCUGUGUGGCCUUGAGUUAAACACUCAUCCUCUCUGGGCCAUAGUGCCCUCCGAAAACAAGGGACUAAUAAGGGCUUCCUUGCUGUCAUCAGGACUUAACUGAGUAUGCCUGGGAAAGAGCUUUGUAAAUAGUGUCAUUGUCUCCUUCCCUCCAGAGCUCUCAGGGUAGAGCCUGCAGCCUCAGUUGGAACUCAGUCAGGAAUCAACCCCCGUUGAUGAGAAAAACACCACCAGAAGUCACAAAAAAACAAAACAGUUUUCUUGCCAGAAGACAGAAGGGGAGAACGGCUGUUCCGAUGGCCGUGAACCUUCACCAAGUUCAGGUUCAGAGUGAAGUCUACCCCAAUACUAUUUGUUCACACCAUUUAUUCUCAAAACUAUUAUUUGACAGCAGAAGUCAUUUCCUCCAGACACUAUCAAGAGGGCCCCUGGCUAUCAUCUGCAUUCCUUUAGUCAAGAUUUCUUCUUCUGGAGCAGACAAUUCUAGGCAAAGUUGAGCCGACCUGCUUCUAUGGAUAUGACACCUGAAAGGCCAAGGCCAGAGAAGGUUCACUGGAAGCCUGAAGAGGGAGGCAGCAGGCCAGUACUAAGAAAGCACAAAGGCCUGAAGACAGAGACAUUUAUUUCUGGCCCCAACUCAAAGCCAAGACCUUGGACGAGUCCUCUGUCCUCUAGGCAGAGGAGUGGCUUGUUUUCCCAUCUACAACACACAGGCUUCCUGGAUCCUCUCCCAAGGCCUUGCUAACUCUUCCUCAUGCUAUUCUGGGAGAGGUACAGCGUUGACAUGAUAGUUGUGAUUUAUCUGAGAGAGUUUUCAGAGAAAGGAAUCCAACAAGAACCUAGAGACUACAGACUAGGACAAAUGGGAAUAUUAGAAGCCCUGGCCAAAAGGGCAGAGAGACAGAGCUAGAGUGAUUGGUUUAUAGGGCAAAGUGAGGAAGAUGGGUCUGGGAUUCAGAUACAAGACACACCAAGAAGCGAAGGGAAGAGAAGUUGUCUGAACCCAGGCUCAGCAAGCCAGUGUCUCCCCUGAUGCAUACAAUCUAGGAGCAAAAUACAGAAGCCUGUUGUCUCCAAGCAAAGGGAAGGGAAUUAGUAAGGCUGUAACAGGGGCCAUUGUAUUGAUGGAUUGAUUGAUGGAUCAAUUGAUUGAUGAUUGAUUUGGGGGGGUGUGCAUGUUCACAUGUAUGCAAGUACCUGUGGAGGCUGGUGGGUGAUAUUGAGUUACCUUCCUCAGGCCCUCAAUUGCUUCCCAUCUUUUUUUGAGACAGACUGUAUUAUUUGCUUUUCUGGUGCUGUGAUAACCAAAAGCAACUAAGAGGAGGAAAGGGUCUAGUUUAGCUCCCAGUUACAGAGAGACAGAAUCUCAUAGCAGAAAAGGCAUGGCAAAUGUAUCAGGAAGCCGGCUGAUCACAUUUUCAUCUACACAAAAGGAAGUGGGGUAAGACAAUAAAUUUAUCAAGCCCUGCCCCCCAGGGACAUACUUCCUCCAACAAGGUACCACCUCAAAAAGAUUCCAUAAUCUCCCCAAACAGCACCACCAACUGGGGACCAAGUUUUCAAAUAAAUGAGACUAUAUGGGACAUUUCUCCUUUAAACCAUCACAUAGGCUGUCUCACUGAACCUAGAGCUCACUGAUCCAGCUAGUCUGGCUAGUUAGCAAGUCUCAGUACUGGCAUUACAGAUGAACACCACUAUGCUGGGCUUUUUCCAUGGAUGCCAGGGAUUCAAGCCCAGGUCCUCAUGUUUGUACACCAAGCACUUUACUGAGUGAAGCAUCUUCCCAGCCCAAAGGGCCAUUUUUGAUUCUUGGCUGGGAUGGUAUGGCAAAAGGUGUGUAAGGGGUAUGUUUCAUCCUGAGUCUAGAGGUUUGAAAAAGUAGACUAGACAGAAGAGGGACCAUUAAAUACAUUUCAGAGGUUUGGAAAGGAUUAAGAGCGCCCAAAGUUCUGAAAAUCAUGUUUCUCACGUUUCCACAUCUCUAAGAUGAAGCCUGGGCCUCUAAAGAUCUUUCUCUCGCCCAUGAGCAAAACCAAGGAUCAUUUCACCCUCCCAGCACCCAAGUCCUCCCACCUUUCAGGAGUAGUCAAGACUCCCAGCUUGGUUCCAUACUCAAGCCUCAGGGAGGAGCUGUCUCUGAGAGCCUGGGAGCCCACAGGUGAGGCCCAGCAGGAGGAGAAAAGAGACCUCCUGCUGUUAGCUCUCAGAGUCUUGGGCUGACUUCCCAAGCUGGCUUCCUGUACUUUGCUGCAGUUCUAACAUGUAGCCCCAAAAGACAGACAGAAGAAAGCUCAUUUUGGGGUUUCUCCUUAAUCCAGGAAUGAUGCCCACCAUGUCAUUGGGUCCAUUUGUUACCAGAAUUGUUGGGGUCGAGCCUGGACUGGCUACCCUAACAAGCUAGGAUCAACUAUCUGUCCUCAACAGGCCAAUUGUACAGACAAAUAGCAUUGAAAAGCAGAGGAGGGAAACACAUUUGACAAAACUGCAAUUGGGAAGAUAGGUGAUAAGGCGGCUCAGUGACCAACCUUGUCCAUCAUCAGAGUUUUAAUAAAUGGCUAUGGAUAUUGUAACUAAGGAAUCCAGGCUAUCCUGCUGACAAGAAGUCACCCUCUGGUGACAUCUUUUCCUGGCUGGCACCAGAAGUCAGCCUUUCCUUUCUCCAGCAUGAGAUUCCUGGGGAAAUUCCAAUUCCUGAAGUCCAUUGUUAAAGUAGUAUGAUAGCCAAAGCAAGAGGCACACACCUGUAAUCUCAGUACUUAGCAGAUAGAGAAAGGGAACUCCAAAGUUCAAGGUUAUCCUCAGCUACAGAGCAAGUUUGAGGCCAGCCUGGGCCACUUAAGACAACAUAACAAAGUAAAUAUGAGCUGGCUUACCUCAUUUUGAUCUUAAAGAAUUACCUUCUGUGAAUGACACUGGCAGGCAGUUUUAUCAAGAGCCAUGUUUAGACUUAGGGAUGAGCAAGCAAAGCUAGUACUGUAAAACUCACCCUGGCCCUCAGUCAGCACAGCUCGUUUGUUAUCUGUAACAUCCUUGUUUGACAGCCCUCUAGGAAAACAUGAAUCUUGCAGGGACUCUUGGCUGCAUUAUUUGUGUUGAAGUUUCUCAACCCUCUGGCACCACAGGAAAGGCAAAUCAGAAGUCCCAGUGAAGACUCUCAUGCCCCCUUAGUUUCUUGCCUUCCUAUCCUGCCACCAUUGAACAGGAACUUCCUUCCACAAUCCCAUCUCCUAGAUGGCGGCUAUUCUCCAGGUCCCCUCUUUUUAUUCUUUACGUCUGCUUGUGGUAAAAUGCAUACAUACAGCAUGGCAUUUAUCAUUGUAGAGCUGGUGAGAUGGUUCCUCAAGUAAAGACUCCAGCCGCCAAGCCUGAUGGCUGAGUUCAAUCCCAGGGCCCAUAUGAUGGAAGGAGACUAUCGCCUCCAUAAAGUGGUCCCCUGAAGGACACCACAACUGCAUAAGCAUAUCCCAACACACAGGCAAACAAUAAAUAAUAAACAAUGGAGGUUUGUUGGUUUUGUUUUUUAAGGCACAUCCUAGGAUAGUUAAGGGUACAACAGAGAAACCCUGUCUCAAAAAGAAGUAAAACAACAACAACAAAACUACUGUAGCCAUUUUUUUAAUUUUUAUUGAUUUUUUUGUGAAUUUCACAUAAUACACCCCAAUCCCAUUCAUCUCCAUAUCCCCCCUCCAUCCUUGCUAUCUGCCCCCAAAAGAAAUAAAAAAUAAAUAAAAAUAAAAACAAAUCAAAAACUAAAAAAGAAAAACAAGCAAGCAAACAAAAACCUCAUUUCACUGUGGAGGAGUAGCCAUUUUUAAAAAGCACAAUCUAAUGGAAUUAAGUAUACUCAUCUUUUCAUUCAUCAUCUCUCCUUUCUGAAAUUGCCUACAAGUCUAAAAGUGACAGGAUCACCUUUUUUAUUAGACAGAUUCCAGGAAUUUGACUCCUCUUUGCUCCUGCACAGAGCUGUGUGGAGCUGAAGAGCAGGAGGUUCAUGCUUGGCCUCAAAUGCACCCCACUAAUGGCCAUUAUAAAUCACCCACACAUUUGCUGACUCAGCUAAAAGCCUUGGGCCCAGCAGUGGCAAGGGCUUUCUUCCUGGGGACCUGCCCAGCUAAGGGCCAGAGCUUCAGGGGAGUACAACAUAACACAUGUUAGACGCUCCAAGUCAGAUGGGGGCGCUAGAGGACUGUGACUUCCCUGGUGGUUGUCAUCUACCUGUGUGGCCCCUGCUUCCACCUCAGAAGAAGCAAGUUAUGUAAUGCCUGGCUCCUCACCUGUGAAAUUCAAAU